rnacentral:rRNA from 1 species
AGGAUGCCUCAGUAACGGCGAGUGAACAGGCAACAGCCCAAGUUGAAAAUCUGCGCUAUGCGCCGAAUUGUAAUCUAAGGAGUCUUGCCUUACCUGUUGGUUGCAUGCGUAACUCGGAAGGAAAGCCGGGCCGUAGAGGGUGUUAGCCCCGUACCGCGUGCGACCUUGGAUAGGCUGGUCUUUAAGAGUCGGGUAGCUUGGGAUUGCUGCCCUAAGUGGGAGGUAGGCUUCUUCUAAGGCUAAAUACUAACGAGAGACCGAUAGUGAACAAGUACCGUGAGGGAAAGAUGAAAAGAACUUUGAAAAGAGGGUUAAAAGACUUGAAAUCGUUGAGGAGGAAGCAGUAGGUAGAUAUCAGCGCAACAGUGUAACUAGUUUUACGAAACUGGGGGAGCUGCGCGCGAGGCAACGUCAUGGGGAUUCGCUGCGUAGUGUUCUCUUUGAGUUCGCGAUCUAGCGAUGAAAACGUGACUUUGUGCGUCUGCCCACUGGCCCGUCUUGAAACACGGACCAAGGAGUCUAACAUGUAUGCGAGUAGAGGAGCGACAAACUCCACUGCGCAACGAAAGUAAUCCUUGCCAAAUUUGCAGCGAGGGCCUCGUCAGAGAGCUCAGCAUGUAUGUUGGGACCCGAAAGAUGGUGAACUAUGCUUGGGGAAGGCGAAGCCAGGGGAAACUCUGGUGGAGGCUUGU